AUGACCCAUCAAGCAGCAGCUUGUAUACAUCCAUUCCUUUCAAGCGUUCUCGAAAAAAAAAUUGAGAAGCAUGACAUGGCCAUGCACCUCGAGUCAGAUGGUGCCUUGGAAAGCUUAGAAUUUGCUGUUGCUAACAUGGCAGAAUUUGUUGUCCUUCUGAGUGGAUGUGAGCGCAUGUCUCGUAGGCCAUAUGAUGUUUAUCUUUACACCAACAACUUCAUGUUCAGCCGGCAUGCUGAAAAGCAAAAACUAUUGAGCUUCUUGUUGGAGCACAACAAUCCUCCUGGUGAUCAUGCACCGACAGUUCUUCCAAUCAUAGGUGGUUUUGGAGUUGGAAAGAAAACAUUGGUUGCUCAUGUGUGUGCAGAUGAAAGGGUUCGCUCACGCUUCUCCUCUACUUUGCACAUGAAUGGAGACAACCUCUUGACGACACUGGACCAUGGAGGGGCCAUGUUUGACAUGAUGUUGGUAGUUAUAGAGUUUGCUUCUGAUAUAGGUGACGAUGACUGGAAAAAGUUUCACUUGUUUCUCGUAAGAAUGAGCAGAGGAAGCAAGAUCAUCAUCAUAAGUAAACUGAAAAGAUUAGCCCGUUUUGGAUCAGUGCAACCUAUUUUCCUAAGUGCUUUGCCUUAUGAUGAGUUGAGGUAUCUUUUUAAGACCCUAGCAUUCGGGAGUGUAGACCCUGCAGAACAUCCACAACUAGUACAAUUAACAGAUGCAUUUGCCAAGGAAUUAUAUGGUAAGCAAGGUUCACUUGUAGCAGUAAAUACGUUCGCCCAUGUGUUGAGAAUGAACCUCACUGUUCAGUUUUGGCGUUGCAUAUUUGGUAAGGGGAUAAGACAUGUUAAAAGAAACCUCUCCAUAUAUGGUGCACACCCAAGCAAGCUUAAAAAACAAGGCCUUCCAGUCGACAUAACGGACUUUGCUUUGCAUCCACUUACCAUGACAAGUUAUACAAGUAAUCUUCCAAUCAAGGAGGAAUCACCAAGUGUGACAUUUGGAGAGCUUCUAGCAGAUCCUAGUGUUAGGCCAGAAGGAGACUUCACUCUGAUUGAAUAUGAAUCAAGGAUACCCCCUCAUAAAUCAUUUGUUCAUUUUGUUACAAGCCGGGCUCAGGAUACACAUGAAGGAAGUAGUAGUACCUUGCCAGGGAGGAAGCGACGGGGUGGGCCAAUCUAA
rnacentral:rRNA from 1 species